rnacentral:rRNA from 1 species
UACAGGGGGUGCAAACGUUGCUCGGAAUCAUUGGGCGUAAGCGCACGUAGGCGGUUCGUUAUGUCGGAUGUGAAAGCCCUUGGCUUAACCGAGGAAGUGCAUCCGAAACUGGCGAGCUAGAGUACGAAAGAGGAUCGCGGAAUUCCCGGUGUAGAGGUGAAAUUCGUAGAUAUCGGGAGGAACACCGGUGGCGAAGGCGGCGAUCUGGGUCGAUACUGACGCUGAGGUGCGAAAGCGUGGGGAGCAAACAGG